GUUUAAAAUAAUCAUUAAAUUACUUCAAAAAGUUUUAAGAAACGUUGGCUGUAUUUUUGGUGCUUUCUUUGUUAGCAGUGGAAUUAUGUAAAUGAGACUGUGGUUAAAGGAUGGGUGGAGAGGCGGCGGCGAUGUCUCGCUUGUUGUGUCAUCGUCUUGUGUUUUGUAUGCUUAUCAACUGUUAUCUGUUGCUGGGGAUUUGUGAAUUACAAUCGACCAUUGCUGUUUCAGUGGACAGUACGUUGCAGCAAAGACUGGUGUUAUGUAAAAGGAAAAGUUUGUUAUUGGAAAAGUUUUGUUUUGUACAGGCAAGAUUCAGCCAUUGUCAAGAAGAAGCAACUCUUUAAA
rnacentral:lncRNA from 1 species